rnacentral:rRNA from 1 species
UAGGGAAUCUUCCGCAAUGGACGAAAGUCUGACGGAGCAACGCCGCGUGAGUGAAGAAGGAUUUCGGUUCGUAAAACUCUGUUGUUAGGGAAGAAAAAAUGUAUAGUAACUAUAUACAAAAGAGACGGUACCUAACCAGAAAGCCACGGCUAACUACGUGCCAGCAGCCGCGGUAAUACGUAGGUGGCAAGCGUUGUCCGGAAUUAUUGGGCGUAAAGCGCGCGCAGGUGGUUUAGAAAGUCUGAUGUGAAAGCCCACGGCUCAACCGUGGAGGGUCAUUGGAAACUAAUAAACUUGAGUGCAGGAGAGAAAAGUGGAAUUCCUAGUGUAGCGGUGAAAUGCGUAGAGAUUAGGAGGAACACCGGUGGCGAAAGCGUCUUUUUGGCCUGCAACUGACACUGAGGCGCGAAAGCGUGGGGAGCAAACAGG